rnacentral:rRNA from 1 species
CUUGACUCUAGUCUGACUUUGUGAAAUGACUCAGGAGGUGUAGCAUAAGUGGGAGCUUCGGCAAUCUUGAAAUACCACUACUCUUGAUGUUGUUUUACUUAUUCCAUCAAACUUGAACUUGCUUUACAGCAUGGGUUUGCUUUAAGGUUUCUGGCUUAUAGAGAUCGAUUCGUGUGGGAAACAUAGUCAGGUGGGGAGUUUGGCUGGGGCGGCACAUCUGU